rnacentral:rRNA from 1 species
UACGAAGGGGGCUAGCGUUGCUCGGAAUCACUGGGCGUAAAGCGCACGUAGGCGGCUUUUUAAGUCAGGGGUGAAAUCCUGGAGCUCAACUCCAGAACUGCCUUUGAUACUGAGGAUCUUGAGUUCGGGAGAGGUGAGUGGAACUGCGAGUGUAGAGGUGAAAUUCGUAGAUAUUCGCAAGAACACCAGUGGCGAAGGCGGCUCACUGGCCCGAUACUGACGCUGAGGCACGAAAAGCGUGGGGAGCAAACAGG